rnacentral:lncRNA from 1 species
CAGGUAACCACACAGGUAAACACAUCAUUACAAACUAUGAUUGAAGGACCACAGUUGAGAAGAGAAAGAGAGCUUAUGUGGAUCUGCAGGGGAAGAUCUCCCUGAGGAAGUGGCAUUUAAGCUGAUAUGAAGAAUGAUAUAUCAGAAGCAACAUGAGCUUUGAGUACAAAAUUGUCAUGAACAUUGGCUUGACGAAAGCAGUCCACAAGAAAUUCCUGAUACUGCCCACCAGAAGUUAUCCUGCUUUUAGUGAGCACCGUGCUUGACAAUACGAGAACCCUAACUACCUAAGUUCACCAGCCGUUCAUUGAAGAAGAUAAAGAUGAAGGCAAACACCAGCCUGGUACCACCCACCAUGAGGAAGGAAAGGCAAGUUAGGUUUCAGUAUGGCUCAGCCUGGCGACUGAAGCGACACAUGGACACUCGCCUCAAGUAGUCCACAAAGAGAUUCCUCACAUGGAAGAAGGCUGCUCAGCAGUAUUGAAGGCCACCAAAGACAACUAGAUUUGACUCAACAGUACUGCUUAUCUCAGACAUAUCUGCCUGGAUAACCUCCCUCCAGCCUCUCUCUGGAUGGGGAUCAAGAGACCACUGCUUUUGCCUUAAUUAGCU